rnacentral:rRNA from 1 species
AAAGAAACUAACAAGGAUUCCCCUAGUAACGGCGAGUGAAGCGGGAAAAGCUCAAAUUUGUAAUCUGGCGCCUUUGGCGUCCGAGUUGUAAUCUCGAGAAGUAUUUUCCGCGCUGGACCGCACAUAAGUCUGUUGGAAUACAGCGUCAUAGUGGUGAGAACCCCGUAUAGGGUGCGGAUGCCCAGUGCUUUGUGAUAUACUUUCGAAGAGUCGAGUUGUUUGGGAWUGCAGCUCAAUUGGGUGGUAAAUUCCAUCUAAAGCUAAAUAUUGGCGAGAGACCGAUAGCGAACAAGUACCGUGAGGGAAAGAUGAAAAGCACUUUGGAAAGAGAGUUAACAGUACGUGAAAUUGUUGGAAGGGAAACGCUUGAAGUCSGACUUGCAUUUUGCAGUUCAMCCGUAAGGUGUAUUCUUCAMUUCSCAGGCCAGCAUCAGUUUUUGGGGGUGGAAAAUCGUGGUUUGAAGGUAGCAGUCUCGGCUGGUUAUAGCUUUCCACUGGAUUCACUUUUGGGGACU